GCGAUCUUCUUCGGAAGAGAGCGGCGGACGGGUGAGUAACGCGUGGGUAACCUGCCUCAUACACAUGGAUAACAUACCGAAAGGUAUGCUAAUACAAGAUGAUAUAAGAGAUUCGCAUGGAUUUCUUAUCAAAGCUCCGGCGGUAUGAGAUGGACCCGCGUCUGAUUAGCUAGUUGGUAAGGUAACGGCUUACCAAGGCGACGAUCAGUAGCCGACCUGAGAGGGUGAUCGGCCACAUUGGAACUGAGACACGGUCCAAACUCCUACGGGAGGCAGCAGUGGGGAAUAUUGCACAAUGGGCGAAAGCCUGAUGCAGCAACGCCGCGUGAGCGAUGAAGGCCUUCGGGUCGUAAAGCUCUGUCCUCAAGGAAGAUAAUGACGGUACUUGAGGAGGAAGCCCCGGCUAACUACGUGCCAGCAGCCGCGGUAAUACGUAGGGGGCUAGCGUUAUCCGGAUUUACUGGGCGUAAAGGGUGCGUAGGUGGUUUCUUAAGUCAGGAGUGAAAGGCUACGGCUCAACCGUAGUAAGCUCUUGAAACUGGGAAACUUGAGUGCAGGAGAGGAAAGUGGAUUUCCUAGUGUAGCGGUGAAAUGCGUAG
rnacentral:rRNA from 1 species